GGUGGGAGGUGCUGCCACAUCCCUGCCAGGAAGCAGAAUUUUCAGUCUCCUGGGUCUCAGACACUCUGUAUUUUUGUGGGCUCCUAAGAGAUAUUUGCCUCCUGAAGACCAUGAAGAUAUUUACAAGAAGAAUUUCUAGAAGAAGGUGGUUAAAUUUGACUUGACAAAGAUGGGAGGAAUCAGCGGGAGACAAAAUGAGUGUUUCUUCUGCGAAGCCCAAAACCUUUGUGCCUGCCUGUUUUUUCUUCGUGAUCCAGUGUCUUCCUCUUGUUCCCAGGUGUUCUGAAGUUUCACUCUCCACCCUUAGUCCCCGAUUCCAGAGGUGUUUGAUGCUGCCCUGCCUGAGAGUUUUGAGGAUUCCGUCGCAUAACUCAGCAGGGAAUCAGUAUGACGAGCAGGAGAAACAAUUCACCUAAAAGUCCUGUGUGUAAACCUUUAUCCCAAAUGUGUGGCCACUCCGAUUGUGUCAUCUGUUCAUAAAACUAUCUUGCAUGUUUGCUUUGGGGACCAGCCUGUGCUGAAUCGAUGUCAAACGACUGGGACAGGCUGUGUGGUGACCGACGGCCGGGAGCAGGCCAAACCCAGCCUUCCAUCAGGCCACGGGCCAAGUUCGCAGCGCUGGACGGUGGCUGUCCCGUCCCAUGGGAACCUGGAUGCUGGCUCCCACAGGGCAGGCCCACUGGGGUCGUGACCUGAAGGCGGACAAGAACGGAACCCAGCCCCAUUCUCGGACUCCCACCUCCCGGUCAGCGGGGUAACAAGAUGCAGUUCCAUUCUGUGUCCUCUCACUCCUGGAGGCAGGGCUGCUCAGCCAGAGGUUUCAGGUCAAAUGUGUGGGGCUCAGGCCGAGGGCGCUCUGUCCCCGGGGCCGUGUCUGUGACCAGCCACCAGCCACGGGCCCUUCUGUCCACGGCACAAGGCCUGCUGAGGGGUUGUUAUGAAGCUUGAGGGCCCGUCACUCUGAAAGCAUGCUGCACCAGGCUAUGCCCCACGUGCGUGUUCAGCCCCUGCAUCCGACUCAGCCCUCGUGACUGGGGAAGGAUGAGGCACCCACCACGUGCUGCGUGCGGUUCAUCCUGAGUUAAACGUGUUGCCACGUGUUCCUUCGUGUUCUUUCUCUCGUGUGUCUUCUCUAGCGAUGACCUCGUCCAGGGUCAAGUUUGAUCUUUUUAUCGAGAUGUCAGUUGUUUUCUGCCUUCUUUGUUAAACUUCUCCCUAUAAAUACUCUUACCAGCCUGUCCUUGGUGUUUCACUGUUUCACGUGAAAACUUGGGAUUUGUACAUAUUCAAGCCUAAAUCUUUCCCUUGAUCACAUGACUGACCGUGUCAGACAUAGCACAGCCUUUCCCACCCACAAUCGUAUGAACGUUAACCUGUACUUUCUUCUCUACUUCAUGAUUUAUGUGCUAACAUUUACAUUCCUGAUCCCCAUGGAAUUUAGUCUAGAUAUAAGGUUUAAAGCACAAUUCUAGUUUUAUUUUACUACCAACUAUUCGGCCAUUUCCUGCUGUGCUAUGUGUGAAAAUAAACGCUUCUUCAUUCACUGAGCUGAGGUGUCACUUUAAUUCUACACCAAAUCCCCACAUAUUCUGGAGUAUCCUUCUAGACUUGUAUUCUAUUCCUUCAGUCUCUGUUGCUUCGGUGGGACCUUACAGCUUUAAUUAAACCCUUCUUAAAGUGUGUGACAGUGUAGCAUGGCCCUCACACCCUUCCAUUUCAGGUUACUUUUGAGAAGGUUAGCAUGUUUAUUCUUCCCAAUGAGCUGUAGAUUAAUUUUGUCACCGUCUCCUAAAAUUGCAUUAGGGAUUUUCUUUGAACUGUAUAAAAAUGUUACAGGUUCCUUUUAAAAAUGUAAGUCUUCAAAAUAUUUUAUGUCUUCUCCAUUUAUCCAGAUCUUCUUGAUGACAAUUUUUAUAUUUUCUUUAUAAAGGAACUUCACCCUAGCACUGUUAUCCCUAGGGAUUUUUCACUGUUACUGUGAAUAUGAUCGUUUUUAUUAUAUCUUAUGGUCACACAAGUCUCUUCAGUUUUCAAGCAGCUAGUAUUGUUUUCAAUGUUGACAGCCCUGUUUCUCUCCUUCCCUGUACACACACACCACCUGCUUUCUUCUCUUGCCUCUCGCUUUCUCUAAACCAGUCCUGCCAUUAUUCCGAGUUCACUGCUUCCAGGGCCAAAACGGCGACUAUGACAUCAUCUGUGGGGUUCAAACUAAUGUUCCCUAUCAAGAUGGAAAGCUGUCUUUAUAAUUUUAAUGAAUUAUGAGUUUCAAUUUUAUUAAAUGUUCCUUUGGUUGCUGUCAAGAUAAUCAUAGGUUGUGAAUUCUAUAAAUACAUUUUUAAAUAACAGACACCUUUUUUCCUGGAAUAAGACCAGCUUUGUCUUAAUGUAUAAUGUUUAUUUAUUAAUAUAGAUAAACUGGAUUUAUGUAUUAGUAUCUCUGCUGUCUUCCCACCGAAGAGCAGCUGGGUGGGCAGGCCCACAGUCAGAACAUGCUUCUGUCGUUAGCUGACCACGUCAUUCCUUUAUCUCCUAGAAUUUACUGUUGCAGAGAGGUCUGCCAGAUUUCUGUAAUCUGUUU